rnacentral:rRNA from 1 species
UGGGGAAUUUUGGACAAUGGGCGAAAGCCUGAUCCAGCAAUGCCGCGUGUGUGAAGAAGGCCUUCGGGUUGUAAAGCACUUUUGUCCGGAAAGAAAUCCUUGGCUCUAAUACAGUCGGGGGAUGACAGUACCGGAAGAAUAAGCACCGGCUAACUACGUGCCAGCAGCCGCGGUAAUACGUAGGGUGCAAGCGUUAAUCGGAAUUACUGGGCGUAAAGCGUGCGCAGGCGGUUUGCUAAGACCGAUGUGAAAUCCCCGGGCUCAACCUGGGAACUGCAUUGGUGACUGGCAGGCUAGAGUAUGGCAGAGGGGGGUAGAAUUCCACGUGUAGCAGUGAAAUGCGUAGAGAUGUGGAGGAAUACCGAUGGCGAAGGCAGCCCCCUGGGCCAAUACUGACGCUCAUGCACGAAAGCGUGGGGAGCAAACAGGAUUAGAUACCCUGGUAGUCCACGCCCUAAAACGAUGUCAGCUAGUUGUUGGGGAUUCAUUUCCUUAGUAACGUAGCUAACGCGUGAAGUUGACCGCCUGGGGAGUACGGUCGCAAGAUUAAAACUCAAAUGAAUUGACGGGGUCAUAGCUG